CACUCACCGUGGUGGGUCGGAGGGUACCUCUGCACCGUGGCCCUGACCGAGUUUCCGUAGUAGGGCGGGACGUGGUUGCCUUGACCGUCGAUGUUAAAAGGGAAUGCAUUCUUUCUGAAAGUAUCAAGACGGCGCCAGGCAGCUCAGUGUUCGCAGACAGCUGUGGCGCGACGCAACUUAAGGAGGUUCUAGUGUCAUCCGCGCCGGGGGGGAGGAGCCUGGCGCUGGCGAGUAGGGGACAGGAUCCCCGGCACAAGGAAACUGCAACCCAAACCCGCUCCAGGACUU
rnacentral:lncRNA from 1 species